UACGUAGGGUGCAAGCGUUGUCCGGAAUUAUUGGGCGUAAAGAGCUCGUAGGCGGUUUGUUGCGUCGGCUGUGAAAUCCCGAGGCUCAACCUCGGGUCUGCAGUCGAUACGAGCAAACUAGAGUGUUGCAGGGGAGACUGGAAUUCCUGGUGUAGCGGUGAAAUGCGCAGAUAUCAGGAGGAACACCGGUGGCGAAGGCGGGUCUCUGGGCAAUUCCUGACGCUGAGGCGCGAAAGCGUGGGGAGCAAACAGG
rnacentral:rRNA from 1 species